rnacentral:pre_miRNA from 11 species
AGUGGGACAGCUGGUGUUGUGAAUCAGGCCGUUGCCAAUCAAAGAACGGCUACUUCACAACACCAGGGUCACACUG